UACGUAGGGGCAAGCGUUGUCCGGAUUUAUUGGGCGUAAAGAGCGUGUAGGCGGCCACACAGGUCCGUUGUGAAAACUCGAGGCUCAACCUCGAGCUGUCGAUGGAAACCGUGUGGCUAGAGUCCGGAAGAGGAGUGUGGAAUUCCUGGUGUAGCGGUGAAAUGCGCAGAUAUCAGGAAGAACACCUAUGGCGAAGGCAGCACUCUGGGACGGUACUGACGCUGAGACGCGAAAGCGUGGGGAGCGAACAGGAUUAGAACCUACG
rnacentral:rRNA from 1 species